GUGAGAAGCCUUUGGAAUCCGAAGCCUUUCAUCACUUUACCAAAUUAUCGAUCUGUUGUGCAAAACAGCUCUCUCUCUCUCUCUCUCUGUUUUUGCCUGUGUUGAAUCUAAUGCCAUAUUUCCUCUCGGAUCUACCCACCAGCGCAUCUGAAUUCAUUUCUACGGCACUCCAUGAGCAUUCCGAACUACAUAUCAGUCACUAACCAAUAGACUCUUUUCUGUCAGUAAUAUAGAAGAAAUAACUUCAGGAAACGACGAACAAGAGAAGAUCAUUUGCUUGUUCAUUUUCACCAUAAAGCAAUCUAAAAAAUGUCUGAUCCUUACCCUCCUUGUGAUGGCGGAGAACGUGGAUGCCCCAGUCUAAGAUACAAAUAUUCAUGGCCUGAGUUAGUUGGAAAACCUGGGAAAUUAGCUAAACAAAUAAUAGAGAAGGACAACCACUUUGUUACAGUCUUGAUCCUAAAACCAGGCGAUUCAAUAACUGGAGACCGUUGUUGCAACCGUGUGUAUUUUUGGGUGGAUGACCAUGGCAAUGUUACAAGCUACUAUCCACCCAGAAUAGGGUAACGAGGAACCUUGUGAUCUGUUGUAUACCUUGUGAUCGAUCAUUUGUGAGCCCAACCUUAUUUAAAAUAAAUUCCCAAUAAUUAGAAAUAUAUGUUACCCUUUGAUAAUAAGAAAUACAAUAUUUUUCAAAUGAGAUUGAAUGUGAAAUACAGUUUUCUUCCUAAA